rnacentral:rRNA from 1 species
UUUAAAGGUAAAUUAUAAUAAAAUUAGUAUUAGCUAUAUUCUUGAAAUUUAAAAAUUUUGGCGGUAUUUUAGUCUUUUCAGAGGAACCUGUUCUGUAAUUGAUAGUCCACGAUAAAUAUUACUUAUUUUAAUUAGUUUGUAUAUCGUUGUAGUUAAAUAUUUCAUUAGAAUAAAAAUAUUUAAAAUUUAUAAUAUAUAAAGUAAAUCAAAUCAAGGCGCAGCUUAUAAAUAAGUAGAAAUGGGUUACAAUAAAGUUAUUUAUAUGAAUAAAUUAAUGAAAAAGAUUUUGAAGGUGGAUUUGAAAGUAAUAAAAUUAAUUUAAAUUUUAUGAUUUUAGCUCUAAAAUAUGU